rnacentral:rRNA from 1 species
AACGCUGGCGGCGUGCUUAACACAUGCAAGUCGAACGAGAAUCUGCGGAAAGAGGGAUUCGUCCAAUUGAAGCAGAGGACAGUGGCGGACGGGUGAGUAACGCGUGAGGAACCUGCCUUUCAGAGGGGGGACAACAGUUGGAAACGACUGCUAAUACCGCAUGACACAUUGAGGUCGCAUGGCCUUAAUGUCAAAGAUUUAUCACUGUGAGAUGGACCCGCGUCUGAUUAGCCAGUUGGCAGGGUAACGGCCUACCAAAGCGACGAUCAGUAGCCGACCUGAGAGGGUGACCGGCCACAUUGGGACUGAGACACGGCCCAAACUCCUACGGGAGGCAGCAGUGGGGGAUAUUGCACAAUGGAGGAAACUCUGAUGCAGCGACGCCGCGUGAGUGAAGAAGUAUUUCGGUAUGUAAAGCCCUAUCAGCAGGGAAGAUAAUGACAGUACCUGACCAAGAAGCCCCGGCUAACUACGUG